rnacentral:rRNA from 1 species
AUUCGCGGCCUAUCAGCUUGUUGGUGAGGUAAUGGCUCACCAAGGCGACGACGGGUAGCCGGCCUGAGAGGGUGACCGGCCACACUGGGACUGAGACACGGCCCAGACUCCUACGGGAGGCAGCAGUGGGGAAUAUUGCACAAUGGGCGAAAGCCUGAUGCAGCAACGCCGCGUGAGGGACGACGGCCUUCGGGUUGUAAACCUCUUUUAGUAGGGAAGAAGCGAAAGUGACGGUACCUGCAGAAAAAGCACCGGCUAACUACGUGCCAGCAGCCGCGGUAAUACGUAGGGUGCAAGCGUUGUCCGGAAUUAUUGGGCGUAAAGAGCUCGUAGGCGGUUUGUCGCGUCUGCUGUGAAAACCCGAGGCUCAACCUCGGGCCUGCAGUGGGUACGGGCAGACUAGAGUGCGGUAGGGGAGAUUGGAAUUCCUGGUGUAGCGGUGGAAUGCGCAGAUAUCAGGAGGAACACCAAUGGCGAAGGCAGAUCUCGGGGCCGUAACUGACGCUGAGGAGCGAAAGCAUGGGGAGCGAACAGGAUUAGAUACCCUGGUAGUCCAUGCCGUAAACGUUGGGAACUAGAUGUGGGGACCAUUCCACGGUCUCCGUGUCGCAGCUAACGCAUUAAGUUCCCCGCCUGGGGAGUACGGAAU